UUUUUUUUAACUUAGGUCGUGCCUGCUAUGGAUGUAAAAUAUUAAUUUUGUUUUUUAUUUACUUAGACAAUUAUUUUAUGGGCUCAUGGUGCUAUAUAUGUAACAAAUAGAGUGGUCUAUAUAUCCCCCAUUUACAAGAUUGAGGAUGUGAUUAGAGUCGAGCCGGAUCUAAUUCAGGGCCUGAGCCAGGCUAUGCCAAAUCUAUCCUAAUGGGCUGAUAUAUCAAUUCAUUUUUCUUUAUUAUUUUUUUUUAAAAAAAAAAA
rnacentral:misc_RNA from 1 species